rnacentral:rRNA from 1 species
ACGCUGGCGGCGUGCUUAACACAUGCAAGUCGAACGGAAAGGCCCGCCACUUUGGUGGUGGGUACUCGAGUGGCGAACGGGUGAGUAACACGUGGGUGAUCUGCCCCGCACUGUGGGGUAAGCCUGGGAAACUGGGUCUAAUACCACAUACGACCAUGGCGUAGGGGUCAUGGUGGAAAGCUUUAUUGCGGUGUGGGAUGAGCCCGCGGCCUAUCAGCUUGUUGGUGGGGUAAUGGCCUACCAAGGCGGCGACGGGUAGCCGGCCUGAGAGGGUGGACGGCCACAUUGGGACUGAGACACGGCCCAGACUCUACGGGAGGCAGCAGUGGGGAAUAUUGCACAAUGGGCGCAAGCCUGAUGCAGCGACGCCGCGUGGGGGAUGACGGCCUUCGGGUUGUAAACUCCUUUCGCCCGGGACGAAGCCCACCUGGUGGGUGACGGUACCGUGGAGAAGAAGCACCGGCUAACUACGUGCCAGCAGCCGCGGUAAUACGUAGGGUGCAAGCGUUGUCCGGAUUUACUGGGCGUAAAGAGCUCGUAGGUGGUGUGUCGCGUCGUCUGUGAAAUUCCGGGGCUUAACUCCGGGCGUGCAGGCGAUACGGGCACGACUAGAGUGCUGUAGGGGUAACUGGAAUUCCUGGUGUAGCGGUGAAAUGCGCAGAUAUCAGGAGGAACACCGAUGGCGAAGGCAGGUUACUGGGCAGUUACUGACGCUGAGGAGCGAAAGCAUGGGGAGCGAACAGGAUUAGAUACCCUGGUAGUCCAUGCUGUAAACGGUGGGCGCUAGGUGUGGGCUGUGUGUUUGCAGUCUGUGCCGUAGCUAACGCAUUAAGCGCCCCGCCUGGGGAGUACGGCCGCAAGGCUAAAACUCAAAGGAAUUGACGGGGGCCCGCACAAGCGGCGGAGCAUGUGGAUUAAUU